rnacentral:rRNA from 1 species
GAUGAACGCUGGCGGCGUGCCUAAUACAUGCAAGUCGAACGGACAGACCCUGCUUUUGUGGGGUGCACGUGUGGCGCACGCGUGAGUAACACGCGAGUAACCUGCCCUUGACUUUGUGGUAACUUCAGGAAACUGCGGCUAAAACCGGAUAGGAGAUCCUGCAGCAUGGUGUGGGAUGGAAAAAUUCGGCGGUUGGGGAUGGACUCGAGGCUUAUCAGCUUCUUGGGGGAGUAGUGGCGUACGAAGGCUUUGACGGGUAGCCGGCCUGAGAGCGUGACCGGGCACAAUGCGACUGAGGGACGGACCAGACGCGAACGGGCGGCAGCAGUCGGAAGCAUGGCGCAGUGGGCGCAAGUCUGAUACAACGGCGUUGCGUGCGUGAUGACCGGCUACGGGUGAUAAACCGCUUUCGCAGGUGACGUGGCCGGCGUGACGGUAAUUGGUAAAGAAGCAACGGCUAACUACGUG